rnacentral:lncRNA from 1 species
UAUUUGAUUUUUGAUUGUGUUUGUUCUCUUAGUCAGAUCUUUUAUUUUUUUCGGUUAAUGAAUAAUUUGUCCACGCCAUCGAUUGAAUUUGAAGGGAUGAUUUGUGAAUCAUCUUAUUACUGAUUAUCGAAUCCUUUUUAGUUUCGCCCAAUUCAUAUGGUUCUCUCAACCCAAAAAAUGGAAUUGGAUUUAUUUUUGAAAGUUCUUUUAUUAUUCCUUUUAGAAAUAGAAUGCUUUGAGUGAUCCAUUUUUUGUUUCUUUUGAAGCUUUUCGAAACAAUUUAUUUUUUUCUUUUAAAAUUGUUAAAGCUAUAAAACAUUUCGUUUUCCAUUUUUUAUUUUAUUUUUAGUUCUUUAAAAAUAGGCUCAAAAAACGAAUGCCGAUUUCAAGGAGGGCCGAAAGGUAGUUCAGUUUCCAUUCCCCAAACUGUUAAAAAGAAAAAAUCAUUCUUUUGACCUUUCUUUUUUUUUUCAUUGGAUCUUUAUGAGAGGGUUGUAGUUUAAAUCUAUGCCAAGGUUUCAGGCAAAAAGGAAAUAGGAUCUUUAUCUGAAUACCGUCUGUUAACCAGUUUUUUGGAAAUUCUGUUUCGGAUAAUUGAACACCAUUAUAAGUGCAUUUAACAUGCAUUUCUCGAUUCCAAUCCGUUAAAUCCUCAGACCACUCAGGAAAUUGAAAUAAUAACAUACGGGCAAUGUUUUUAACUAUUAUCAGUGAAGGUAAUAUAAUAUAUUUUCUAAGAAUUGAUUGGGUUAUUAACACGGAGCCCCUUAUUACUUGAGCAAGUAAAAGACUAUCCCAAGCUUCUGCUAUUUCUAUCCUCAUUCUCUUCUCUUUUGUAUUUUUCUCUUUUGGCCUCUUCUUUUUUCUCGAUCUUUUUUUCUGUAUAAUCAGAAAUUUUUGAUUCUUUGUUUUUACAUAUCCAAUUUCGAGAUAUUCGUUUCAGCGGUCCAGAAAUAUCAAAAGAAAAAAAAGAGUGGUUUGUCUACUCUGUCCAAAAAAAGGUGAUACGAGUCACAAAGGCCCAACCCAAGCUUAAGAAGGUGAUGGGCUCAAAUCAAGAAAAUCAAGAUUCACUUUCUUGUUUUCAAGAAAAUUAAGAAAUCGAAUCUUGGCCCAAUUUUGCUGUUCGGAGCGAUUUCAAGAAUCAAGAAAAUCAAGAUUUCAAAUCUUGGAAAUCUUGGUCCAAGAAACCGAAUCUUGCAGCCAAAGCGCGUUGGAUCUCCAUUACGAGCGUCAACGACCCAAUUUUGGUAGGAGAUGGAUCACGAGCCCAAAUUCUUGAAGGCGAGGCCCAAUAACCAAAAUCCAGCCCAAUCAAGAAAUUUCUUCAUACUUAGUUGAAAAAUCAGGCCAAAAUGUCAAAGGGCCCAAUUUGUAAACAUCUUACUUGUUUAAUUUAAUUUUUUAAUCUUUAGGAGCAUUACAUGUAAAAUUCGGCCCAAAACAACCCAUAUAAGUGCAUGGCCAAAUUUACCUUGUUUUUUUAUUAAUUAGGUUUAAUUUUUUUAUUAGUUACUUGUGAGAUUAGGAUUUGUUGGAGGCCUAUAUAAGCAUUGGCUAGCCACCCUUUGUAAAAACAUCUCAUUAUUAUUUUUUCUAUCAAAUUUCAGAUUUGUUGAGUGCAGAAUUUUCUUUGGGGUUUUCUCCAAGAAUUCUCUCUUGAGUUUUCUUUAGAAGUUGUUUUAACAAUCUUUUGAUUGUGGGAGCCAUCUUCAACCUUCUUCUUGCCAUCGAUAUUCCUUGGAGGGGAGAUUAGAGCCGUUUGAAGGAAUUUGUGAAUUCUUUCGGGAAUUCAAGGGUUCUUAGGACUUUUCUUUAUUUCUUGCUGUUUCGAUUUGUUUCUUUAUUCCUACUUGUGCCAAUUCAUCAUCUAAUAAUUUGCUGUUCUUGUUUGUGUUUCAGCCUUGAUUCAAACUCCAAGAACUCUUCAUUUAAUCGGUUCUUUUAUUGGCAACAUAUAAUCGACUCAAAAUUCCCCAAAAUUUAGGGUUCUUGCCGUUUUCUAUUUCUUCUUGUUGGGUGAAAUUCGGCUGCUGAAAUUUGGGCAAUUCAUAUUGGGUGUUCAAUUGGACCGAAUCGCAACUUAAAUUCUCUUCUUGAACCCUUCAAUUUCAUCUAUUUCUUUCUUUUCUUUUGCCGUCCAAAUCCCUAAGCUUCCAAUUAAAAAUCUGAUUGUUUCAAUCUACUUACUGUUUUGGUGUUCUUGGCAGGUUUGGCUUGUGGGAUUUCACUAUUGGAGUUCGAUUUCAUCUUCUUGAACUCCGAAUACAUUUAUUCAUUCGUUCUUUGUUCCUUGCUGCUCAUUUAAUUGAAUUUGGGGAUUUAAUUUCAGAUCUGAUUAGUUUAAUCUUGUUCUUUGUUUUUAAUUUAAAGAUCUGUUCGUUUAGAGCUUUCGUAGGAGUUUCUCGUGACUUGGCAACUCGAUCUUGGUCCGCGCGCAUCCCCGUAUCAUUUGGUAUCAGAUUUUGGGCGUUUUGGGUGUUCUUGGUUGAUUUCUAAACUGAUCUCUAUUUUUUAAAGCAUAAACAGCAGUUUUACCCAGAAAAAUUGUUCAAAAAAAAUUCAUUUGAGUGGGUAAACGUUGUCCGAUUGAUCUAAAAUUUUACAUACAUGUUUUUGGCACUGUGAUUGAAUAUAAAAAAAUUAUUCCCGCAAAAAAAUCAGUCAAAAAAUCAAAAAAGACGAAAUUCAAUAAAAAUUUAAAAAAGAUUCAGCGGGUUGAAUUUGGUGCCCAAAAUUUCCAGAUCAAAAAUUCAAUAUAUAAGGACACUCCAGAUUUAAUUUCGUGAUUUUUGGAGAUCGGGAACACCUUGAACGAAGUUGUCAAGUUACUCCGCAGUUUUUCGGGUUUUUUGUUUUCAGCAAUUUUAUUGAUUCUUAGCUGUAGGUUUUCAUUUGUUUACCUUUAUUCUUCCUUUACGUUAUCUAACACCUUCUUGUUUCUUGUGUUAGUAGGAUUUAAACGUGUGCACAACUUCUUCCUCGGUGCAACACGAAUCAAUUGGUGUCUCGUCAGUUUUUGGCAUCCUAGUGCAAAUUAGGAUUCUUUGGUAGUUUGGUUCACACUCUCUAAUUGGUUGAUAUAAACUCUGAUAAAGAACUCACAAGAUUGAAUUCGACCUCAUUGAGAAUUUGAUUUUUCUUUUUGAGUGAUUAAUGGUGAGGUUUGCUAACUUUUAUUUUUGAGUGUUGAGUGUUUAUUUUUUAUAGGUUUUGAAGAUGUCUAAAUGUGAUAAUAAUGAUGCACUUAUGAAAGUCCAACAACAGUUAGACGAACAUACUGCUGCAAUCACACAAAUAAAUGCUACACUUCAAGCAUUGAAUACUACUUUGAAUGAGGUACGAAUGAAUCAAAAACAUCAAUAUCGAGAUCCAAUUAAGGAAGAUAGGGAUAACCAGCCCUAUAGGUGCAGCCCUCAACGUGUCCCUAGAAUGGAUGAUGAUUUUCAUGAUCGUGGACAAUCAUCUUUGGCAAAACCAAAGAGCGAGCAGCAACGAGAACAUCUCUUUCAUACUCGCUGCCAUGUACAAGGUAAGCUUUGUAGAGUUAUUAUUGAUGGUGAAAGUUGCUCGAACAUAGCCAGCACGACGAUGGUGGAAAAGCUUUGGUUAA